UGGGGAAUUUUACGCAAUGGGGGAAACCCUGACGUAGCGACACCGCGUGAGCGAAGAAGCCCUUUGGGGUGUAAAGCUCUGUCAACAGGAACGAAACAAAUGACGGUACCUGUGGAGGAAGCAUCGGCUAACUACGUGCCAGCAGCCGCGGUAAGACGUAGGAUGCAAGCGUUGUCCGGAUUUAUUGGGCGUAAAGAGUUCGUAGGCGGUUUGUUAAAGUCUGAUGUUAAAGACCGGGGCUCAACCUCGGAAAUGCAUUGGAUACUGGCAGACUGGAGUGCAGUAGAGGCUAGUGGAAUUCCCAGUGUAGCGGUGAAAAUGCGUAGAUAUUGGGAAGAACACCGGUGGCGUAGGCGACUAGCUGGGCUGUAACUGACGCUGAGGAACGAAAGCCAGGGGAGCAAAAUGGGAUUAGAUACCCCAGUAGUCCUGGCCGUAAAACGAUGGAUACUAGGCGUAGUGGGUAUCGACCCCUGCUGUGCCGCAAGCUAACGCGAUAAGUAUCCCGCCUGAGUAGUACGGCCGCAAGGUUGAAAACUCAAAGGAAUUGACGGGGUCAUAGCUGUUUCCU
rnacentral:rRNA from 1 species